UUAUGCGACCUCGAACCACAACCCUAAUCUCUACAGGGUUCAUGUGGGUUUGAUCCACAGCUCAGGGAUAAUGGACGAACCUGUAGUUAGGUGUAUAAUGGUUUAUUGAUGGCAGGCAUAAAAGACAUGGGUUUGAAUAUUUCAGUUAAGUUUGUGAAAGAGACUGAAAGUUCAUUCUUGACCUCGGAAACAGGAGUUGACAAAACAAUCUCAUCACUGUGUCCAUUUAGUUUUCUGUAGCUUUCAGUGUUAACACAUGAUCUUUCUCAACCGAUGUUGCCUUGUGAUGAGAUUUUUUGUCGACUUCUGUUCCCAGUGAAGCCAAGCAUUAACUUUCAAUCUCAAGCCAACAUGGAUGAGCAGUCCUUAAAGUGCUCAGAAUAUACGGAAUGGUUUGGACUACGAUUCAUUGUUUCUGUUCCCAAGAAAGGCUGAAUGUACUGUUUUUCAUGCUUUUUGGACUAUAACCAGAGGUUAUCUGCCAUUCAUCCAGCUCCCAUGACUCUCUCGGUUUCUCAGUGUGACGCACUAACCACAAGCUGAAAGGCUGCUGAACUGACUGACUUGUUGAUGAACUGCUCCAGUCCUGAUCGCCGCUCCUCAAUGAAGGACUCCUCAAAAAGGCCCUCAUCUCCGCGGAAUGGCAACUGUCUCUUCAGGGCUUUGCCCGGCAGAGAUGGUACUACAAUCUGAAGGUGUCGGACGUCAACACAAAUAACAGGAAAGAUGAGAAACAGGGCACCAAAAUAUGAAAUCCAAAGUCCACACUCGCUGUGCUGUCAAAAACUGCAGACAUUUCCAUUCAUAUAUGUGAGAUCCAGCCAAGAAAUAAACUUAUUUAGAAUGACA